rnacentral:rRNA from 1 species
UACGUAGGGGGCAAGCGUUGUCCGGAUUUAUUGGGCGUAAAGAGCGUGUAGGCGGCCAGAAAAGUCCGCUGUGAAAACUCGAGGCUCAACUUCGAGCUGUCGGUGGAAACUUUCUGGCUAGAGUCCGGAAGAGGAGAAUGGAAUUCCUGGUGUAGCGAUGAAAUGCGCAGAUAUCAGGAAGAACACCCGUGGCGAAGGCGGUUCUCUGGGACGGUACUGACGCUGAGACGCGAAAGCGUGGGGAGCGAACAGG